rnacentral:rRNA from 1 species
UACAGAGGGUGCGAGCGUUGUCCGGAAUCACUGGGCGUAAAGGGCGCGUAGGUGGCGAGAUAAGCGUGUGGUGAAAGCCCGGGGCUCAACCCCGUGUCUGCCAUGCGGACUGUCUUGCUCGAGCGUAGUAGAGGCAGGUGGAAUUCCGGGUGUAGCGGUGGAAUGCGUAGAGAUCCGGAAGAACACCGGUGGCGAAGGCGGCCUGCUGGGCUACUGCUGACACUGAUGCGCGGCAGCGUGGGGAGCAAACAGG